UGCGGCGGGUCGCACGGCUCCGUCCCAUCUCGGGGGGCGGGCGGGGGAGGCGAGGCGCGCGAGCAGAGCGCGGGACACGAUGUCCGACGCGGGCGGCGGAAAGAAGCCGCCUGUAGAGCCGCAGGCAGGGCCGGGCCCGGGGCCAGGGCGCGCAGCCGGGGAAAGGGGCCUGCCGGGCUCCUUCCCUCUGGUCCUGAAGAAGCUGAUGGAGAACCCCCCGCGCGAGGCGCGCCUAGAUAAGGAAAAGGGGAAGGAAAAGCUGGAGGAAGACGAGGCUGCAGCAGCCAGCACCAUGGCCGUCUCUGCCUCCCUCAUGCCACCCAUCUGGGACAAGACCAUCCCAUAUGAUGGCGAGUCUUUCCACCUGGAGUACAUGGACCUGGAUGAGUUCCUGCUGGAGAAUGGCAUCCCUGCCAGCCCCACCCACCUGGCCCAGAACCUGCUGCUGCCUGUGGCUGAGCUAGAAGGGAAGGAGUCGGCCAGCUCCUCCACGGCGUCCCCACCAUCCUCCUCCACUGCUGUCUUUCAGCCCUCGGAAACCGUGUCUAGCACAGAAUCCUCCCUGGAAAAGGAGAGGGAGACACCCAGUCCCAUCGACCCCAACUGCGUGGAGGUGGAUGUGAACUUCAAUCCCGACCCUGCCGACCUGGUCCUCUCCAGUGUGCCGGGCGGGGAGCUGUUCAACCCUCGGAAGCACAAGUUUGCAGAGGAGGACCUGAAGCCCCAGCCCAUGAUCAAAAAGGCCAAGAAGGUCUUUGUCCCCGAUGAGCAGAAGGAUGAAAAGUACUGGACGAGACGCAAGAAGAACAACGUGGCGGCCAAGCGGUCCCGGGACGCCCGGCGCCUGAAGGAGAACCAGAUCACCAUCCGGGCGGCCUUCCUGGAGAAGGAGAACACAGCCCUGCGGACGGAGGUGGCGGAGCUGCGCAAGGAGGUGGGCAAGUGCAAGACCAUCGUGUCCAAGUACGAGACCAAGUACGGGCCCUUGUAACCCGUGCCCCCGCCCGGGCGCGCUGCCUCACCUCAGACCUCUGCCUGGGACCCCUGAAACCCACCCCUGCGUGGAGACUUAUGACUCGUCGUGGGCGCAUGGUGGUGCAUCUGCCCCAGGAGCCUUCACGUUCAAGCUUCAUUAUCACAUGGCCAGCACGGCGACUUCCCUGGGGGCCAGCCUCCUCCCUGGCGGGAUGCGAGAGAAUCUACGAGGUGGUGAAUCAGCCUUAGUCUCUGUUCUUGGCUGUCUCAGUUGGACCGGAAGGGGACCUCUGGAGCAUGGGCUCUUCUUUUCCAGGGUACCCAGGCUUCCCUGACUCUCCCUGCUUCUCCAGCCUGGGCUGUCCCGGCCUGUCUCUGCAGAAUGAGUCAUGAUGGCUGUCGCCCUUACAUCUCCUCAGGUAGCAGGGCGCAUUUCCAGGCAGGGAGGGUCUGUUGUCCUCCCCAGAAAGUCGUAGAGAAAAACAUCCGUUCCCAUCUUCCUCAAAGCAGAGAUUUGUGCGGCCACGGGAAGCACAGGGGCUGUGGGCUCGGACUAUGUCAAAGCUGGGAGAUGUCUGCCGAGCAUGUAGCAGGUAAGAGCAUGGGCUUGGAAUUAGUCCUGGGAUCAGAUCUGCCUCCAUCACUAAUUUGGGGUGUGAUCUUGGGCGAGUCACUUCCCCUGUCUGGGUUUCUGGUUUUUUAUCUAUAGAAUGGGCACCAGCCUCACAGGCACCUGGCACAGGGUGGGUGCUCCCCACAUGGCAGCUGCUGCUGUGGCGAUGCCGCAGAGGGUAGUGAGCUGCACAGAGAUGAGCCCUCGAGGCCUGGCAGCUGCCAGCCACGGCAAGAGGUACGGGGGUGUCCCCCGGACGGUGUGGGAUGCAGCCACGGCAAGGGGUACGGGGGUGUCCCCCGGACGGUGUGGGAUGGGUUGGAGCCGCUCUGUGGCCCCAGGCAAGUGGCUCCGCCUCCCUGAGCUAGCUCCCUCUCUGCAGUGCUACACAGAUAACACGCGAGGGUCUGACACAGUCCUCCCUCCCACCCGCCUCCCUGGAGGACAAAUCUCGAAAGCUGGACACAGGCCCCCUUCCUUGACUGUACCCAACUACCACACAGCCCCAUACACACCCCACGGCUGUGCCACACUGGCCCAGCUGGCAGCUCCUGACGUCAGCACCUAAUCCGGGAAAGCUGCCAGCCAGAGACAGGGCUGAGCAGCAGAGGAAAUCAGAGACAGGUUUGAAGGUGGGUGCCCAGCCCCCAGCCAGCACUCCCUGCGCUCUCAUCAGCUUCUCACUGCAGCAGAGCCUCCCAACCAAGCAGGUUGAUGCCGGGACCCCGUGGAGCGGGAGCCUUUAAUUGUGAGCAGGGACUGCACGGUACUCAGCCUCCGUCAGCUCCCAGGCUGCGGGUGUCUCCAAGCUGGGCAGGGGGCAUCCACUCCCACCUAGAUUCCAGGCUGACUCCAAGUCCCUGUGGGGCAGGGGCUUGGGGACCGUGGGGGGCAGGAGGGGCUGGCAGUCAGCAGGGCCAGGUCCCUCAGGGCCGAAGAGCAUGGCUGUUUUCCUGGGGUCUGAGUCCAGAACUGCUCGGACCCAGGUCUGCGGCAAGGCUGGGCCAUGCCCCCGACCCCAGGCCUCUGAGAAGCUGCUAGACCAAGCUCAAAUCGCCCUAAGAGCCUACCCUAGAGGCUUGCCAAGGCUGCAGGGGCGUGAGUAGAGCAAGUGGAGGUGCCAAAAGCUGGGGCCGGAGUCCUAAGCCAGGAGCCGGUGCCCAACCCACCAGACUUGCUGGGCUCCUCCUUGCUCUGGGCCUCAAUUUCCCCAUCUGCCCAAGAGCCCUGGACUUGUGGAUCUCAGUACCGAGGUUCAGACUCGGGAACACCCCAGGCAUGGGCAAGCCCAGCCUUCCCUUCAGUCUCUUCUCUGCCUCACAAACUCCUAGUCAUCCUUCUAGGCCCCAGUCAGCUGUCACCUCCACCAGGAAGGCUUCACCAACACUCUCGGGAACCAGCUGCUCCUCCUGCAUGGUCCCACACCUUCCUCUACAGGCCCCCCGGCCAGGCCCCUCCCUCCCUCACACUUGAGGUAAAGAUCCAAUGAGUUAAAACUUGUGAAAUGCUUAGAAUAGUGCCUGACAUGGACCUACGGCAAGCAGCCGUAGAUGCCAGCUAUUAUUCUUAUCACCACCUGUAUUUUAUAGAUGAGGAAACUGAGGCUCAGAAAAAAAGGAAUGACAUUUUUUUUUUUUUGCCACACUGCACAGCAUGUGGGAUCCUAGUUCCCCAACCAGGGAUUGAACCCAAGCCCCCUGCAUUGGAAGCAUGGAGUCUUAACCACUGGACCGCCAGGGAAGUCCCAGGAAUGACUUGUUCUAAUCCCAUAUCUUGUCAGUGGUUGAGCCAGGAUUUGGACCCAGGCAGCCCAACUCCAGGGCCCUCCCUCUCAGCCUUCCUGCCUGUUACUAGGGAUGAAGUGUCCUGCCCCCAGUAACCCAGUCCCUUCCCAAGGGCACCCAUCCCAUCCCCACUUGCCUGGGAAAGGACAUUGCCCCUGAGAUUCUCUCUCCCGUGUCAUCAGUCCCUCCCUCUCCACAAGAUCAUUCCAUCAGCCCAAAACAUGCUCUAAAAUCUUCCAUCCUAAAAAUUAAAUAGGGCUUCCCUGGUGGCGUGGUGGUUGAGAGUCCGCCUGCCGAUGCAGGGGACACGGGUUCGUGCCCCGGUCCGGGAAGAUCCCACAUGCCGCAGAGCAGCUGGGCCCUUGAGCCAUGGCCGCUGGGCCUGCGCGUCCAGAGCCUGUGCUUCCCCAACGGGAGAGGCCACAGCAGUGAGAGGCCUGCGUACCGCAAAAAAAAAAAAAAAAAAAAAAUUAAAUAAGCUGAGCCCCCAUUGCCCUCCGGCUACCACCAUUCUUCUGCUCCCUUUACCGUGAAACUCCACAGGAGUGAGUCCUACAUUCACAGCCCCCCUCAGGCUUCCACCCUCCACUGAAGCCACCUUCUCAAGGUCACACUGAUGACCACCUUGGUGUUGCCACAUCAACCUGGGUCGAUCUCAAGCUCAUCUUUCUCUGCUUCUGAGCAGCGUUUGGCCCAGUUGCUCACUCCUGCCUUAUUGAAACCCUCUCUCCCCGGCUCCAGAUUCACCUCCCUCCAUGGCUGCUCCUCCUGUCUCCCCGAACUCUAACUGUCAGAGGCCCCAGGGUCAGCAGGUGCCCUGCUCCCCGGGUCAUUCACUCUGUUCAAGGCUUGGAGUGCCACCCAUGCCCUGGCAACUCCCACAGGUGUCUACAGCCCCAUCCUCUCCCCUGGGCUCCAGACUCGUGCCUCCACCUGCUCCCUUGCCAGCUCCACCUUGACCUGCCCAAACGCUCCUGGUCUCCCCAGAGCCACUCCUCAGUUUUCCCUUCAAAGUGAAGGGCCCCACCAUUCCUCAGGUGCUCAGAAUAAAGCCUUGGGGUCAUCCUUGAUCACCUGCUUUAUUUCACAGCCCCAUCCAAUCCGUCCACAAUUCCUGUCAGUUCUAGAAUCCAGCCAUUUCCUCCCACCCCCAAGGCCACCCCGUGGUGUCCGAGCCACCAUAUGUCCUGCCUGGGUUAUGGCAGCCUCCUCCUGAUUUCCUGUUUUCACCCUGCAGUCUGUCCUCCUCACAGCUGCCUAUAACCAUCGUCAUAUCCCGUGGCUCCCAACACACUCAGAAACAAAUCCAAACUUGUCACCGCAGCCUACAAAGCCCUUUGAGACCUGGCUGUCUACCUGGUCCACUUCCCCUCCCUCUCCACCCCUGGCACUUUGACCGUUUUGCUCCACCUGGGUCACGCCCAACUCCUUCCUAUCUCAGAGCCUUUGCACUUGCCGUUCCAUCUGCCUGGAGUGCUAUCCCCCAGAUCUUCUCAGCCCAGCUGCAUUCGCAGUGCCUGGCCUGCCUGGUGCUUGGCACUGUCUGCCAAACCCACAGGGACAGGAUGACAGGACCAGGGAUGGUGUGGCGGGAGCGCCACUGUCACCACCAGGUGGCGCGGCAGACACAUCCCUGGGCGGUGACCUCUGGUCCAGCCUCCAGAUUUGUCCUCUCAGCAAAGCCUCGCGGGGCCUCCCGUGCCAGGCGGUGCUGUGAGGCACCAGCUGCCUCGGCCCCGCCCUGCCUGCCCUCCAGCGGCUGCUGGCAGACACUGUCUAGAGGUAUCCAAGGAGCCUGGAAGAAGGGAAGGCUGGCUGCCUCCCAGGGCCUGUACUUCUAGGCUCUUUCUGGGGAGGGAGUAGACGUCUAAGCCUGAGAGGGACGUGUGGGGAGAACGGGGGCUCAGCCAGAGCAAGGUGUCUGGAAUGAGGAGUUCUGGGGAGGCCUUGGACUCCGAGUCUGCCCAUCGGGCCUGGGUUUGCAAGCCACCUGCUUCUGUCCUCUGUACGUCAGCACUUGCCCAGCCUCCCAGAGCAGCGGUGAGGAGUCAAGGCUCAAGUCAUUUUCAAAUGGAUUUCUCCAACAGAACCUCAUUUUUCAGCCACAGUCUUCUCCAGAAGGCCAGCAUAUGACACUGAUAAAAGGGGUGUUGAUCAACAUAAGUUUCCAAGCUCAGGGUGCUGAAAGGUCCUUAGUCUAAAGUCACUUGAGAGGGUAAGUGUGUGACACGUGAUGGACACACCCUACCCAGGGUGGUGUUGAGGGCCGUGGCCCCCCUGGGCGCUGCCCCAGCACUCCGUCUAUUUCUGCAGCUGGUCUGAGCGGCACGGCACCAACAAAGGCUUGAGGCCCGCAGGCAGAAAGCUGGUUUAAAAAAUGAAUUCAAGAGUGGGUAUGUGGAUACGUAUGACUGAUUCACUUUGCUGUACAGCAAGAAACUAACACAAUAUUGUAAAGCAACUAUACUCCAAUAAAAAUUAAUUUGAAAAAAUGAAUUCAAAUCAAGACUUGGUGACAACCCCAAGGCCCGGUCACAGAUUCCAGGUGUCUACAGUGCCUGUCUGACGACCCCCAGCCCUGGCUGUGGGACCCUGGCAAGUCCCUUGCCCUCUCUGGACUUCAGGAGGCACAGGAGGCCAUGGUCUACCUCCAGGGGCCCAUCUGUUUACCUUGGCAAGUCUGGAUUUGGUGAUCAGAGACAUUUGGCCAAUGGCCUGGCUCCGCAUGGCCCUCAGAAGCCUGGUGGAUGCAGUCAGGGGACACGAGUUCGAGCCCUGGCCCGGGAAGAUCCCACAUGCCGCAGAGCAACUAAGCCCGUGAACCACAACUACUGAAGCCCGCGCUCCUAAAGCCCGUGCUCCGCGACAAGAGAAGCCACCGCAAUGAGAAGCCCGCACACUGCAACGAAGAGUAGCCCACACUCGCGCAACUAGAGAAAGCCUGCACACAGCAACGAAGACCCAACACAGCCAAAAAUAAAAUAAUAAAAUACGAAUAAAUAAAU